rnacentral:lncRNA from 1 species
GUGGAAUACAGAGCAUACAGGGGACUGAGCCCCUUUGUUGUGGAUUAAAUGAAGGUUGCCAGGUGGAGGUUCUUCUGGGGAGGAUGAAAGUGCUGUGGUCAUGCUGACAUAGAUCUGCAUCAGGACUGCGAGGAUUGGAAGAGGAAAUAAGCUGAAUAAUUCCAAAGCAGUCUGACAUCUGUGCAAGUUUGGACGUCUUCUCAUUAAAUGCAGACAGCACAUGUUCUUUCAACAUGUCCUGCAUCCCUUUG